GCAUGUCUUAACUAACAAGGAGAACAGUGCCAGGGGAGCAGAAGCGAUCUGGCUACAGUGAUUAAGUCCAAAACACUUUAAGAAGGCAAGUCCAUUGGAAGAAAGAAAGAAAAAAAGGCAGUGGUUACUAUUUUAGAUGAACAGCUUGCAAGUUAAGGUCACAAAUCCAUGAUCAUCUCUCAACAAAAAAAGAGUAUCUAACACGUCAUUAGACAGAAGCUACCAACUGUUUGACCUGAUCUUAAACAUGGAUUCAUCUCUAACAAAGAUCAUGUUAUUAAGGAAUAUCAUCUAUCAGAAGAGCCUUCAGCACCUCGGAAGGUGUGUGUUGUCUGUCUUCUCUGGGGUAUCAAAGUGAUUCUUCUCCAACCACAAGGAAGACAGCAGAUCAGUUCAAGGGCAAGGAUACUCAGGCCCAGAGUCAAUUCCCCUCAUCAAGGAACUUGUCACACUAGUUAUUAUUGAAAGCUACCUAUAAGAAAGUUUGAUAGCUCUUACAGAUACUUGCGCAUCAGGUGUUUUUGUUGCUCAUUUCCAGCUUACUCUGAGAAGAUUGCUCUCAUAAGGACCUGAAUCAAUGGUACCAGAUGAUUGUAUUGUGAAGGCCAGGGUAAAAUGCUAAUCUUAUGUCACUUGUGAGUGCAAAACCACUUUGGCAAGAAAAAUGCAUGUUUUCCAUCUGGCAGAAUCCAGUAGACAUUCCUUGCCCUAGACUUUUGCUUUACAAGACAAUCAUUGACUGACAUAGUAACCUUAUUUCCUACUGCAACAUUGUCCGAUGUUUCAUCUCAUACUUUGAAGAAUCAAAGUUCAAAAGUUGUAAUGAGCACUAUAGACUGUUUGCGUGUUUGUUUGUUUUUUUUUCUAUCAGGAAAAAAGCAUGUAUUUUUCAUUAGUCUUGACAGGAACUUGGUGAUUAUGUCAAUAUACACUAUGAAUAAUAUUAUCUUUACUAAAUAAAGAUUUAAAAUAUAUCUCCUGCUUAGGGAUUUGAAAACUGCUCCACAUGACAUCUGGAAGAUUUAGCUGUUGUCUUAUGUAUAUAUUUGAAAUAUAUCUAUUUACAACAUUUGAACAGUUGAGAUCUGAUCCUUCAAAGAUU
rnacentral:lncRNA from 7 species